GCCAGGCGCGGUGGCAUGUGCCUGUAGUCCCAGCUACUCAGGAGGCUGAGGCAGGAGGAUUGCUUGAGUCCAGGAGUUCUGGGCUGUAGCGCGCUAUGCCAACUGGGUGUCUGCACUAAGUUUGGCAUCAAUAUGGUGACCUCCCGGGAGCAGGGACUACCAGGUUGCCUAAGGAGGGGUGAACCAGCCCAGGACGGAAAUGGGGCAGGUCAGAACUCCCAAGCUGAUCAGUAGCAGGAUUGCGCCUGUGAAUAGCCAAUGGACUCCAGCCUGGGCAACACAGCAAGACCCCAUCUCU
rnacentral:SRP_RNA from 1 species